GGAGAGAUGGCCGAGCGGCUGAAGGCGCUCCCCUGCUAAGGGAGUAUGGGUCAAAAGCCCAUCGAGGGUUCGAAUCCCUCUCUCUCCGCCA
rnacentral:tRNA from 3 species